CAGUCCAGAAGCAGCUGCUGUGAUGUUCAACACUUAACCAGCUCUGAAGCUGCAUGAGUGAAAGAGGCGGCAGGAUCUGAAGAUAAUAAUGAAGAAACGGCAGCUCUGCUCCAUCAGUCAGUGUAACUUUCAGUGUUGACUGCAGAUUCAGAGCUUUGAGGAAAAAUAUCUGAGUUAACACGAUGAUGUCAAACUUACUGUGCUUCCUUGCACAGGUUAGGAUAUUUGAGAAGCAGAAGAAGAGCUUCUGGAACAACCAACAGGAAGGCAGCAACUGGAUGCUGCUCCUCUGAGACGGGAGCAUCAGGGCUGCAAUCUAAACAUACUGUGCUGCAGGAUGAAAAGCGGCAGAGAGGAGGAAGUCGGAGGAGCUGAAGGCUCUGACUUCUCCAGGCAAAUCUGCUGCAAAGACACGAGCAAAUUUAAUCACGAAGGAUCAUUCAUUGUUGCUUUUUAUGACUCUUUAAAUAAAAGAAAUUUUAAUGCUAUGAACCUAGAGCAUCGUUGAACAUAUUUAAAAGCAUAACAAUGAACUUAGUAGACCAAAUGACAUGCUUGUUUUUCUGGAAAAUGUUUUGUACGAAUAUCAGAGAAAUGAAAAGAAAUCUGUUGAUGCGUCACCAACCUGCAAGGUUGUGCAGAGUAUUAUUAUUUUUUUAUAUUUAACUUCUUUAAUUUUCUGUUUCUUUUAAAUCCAGCUUGAAGAAGAAAAUAAUAGCAGAUAAGUAUGAGUUUAAUGUUGCUCAAAUCAAUAUCACAAGUACUUUCUGUUAAAUGUUGAGAUCCACAUCACAUCUAUUCCUCUUGUGUUUACUUAGAGGUGAAAAUCUGAAACCUAUUUUUUUUUUAUUUUCAUUGUGUACUGAUGAUGAACUUUAGAAUCUGUGCUUUCAUUGAGAGAUCAUGUUUUUAACAUAAAAAGGAAGUUCACACAUUAAAAAAGUGUAUUCUUCAU